rnacentral:rRNA from 1 species
UCUAAUGUGGUGCCCGACGCGGCGGUAAGCCGGAGGGGGGUAGGGUUGUGCGGAAUGACUGGGCGUAAAGCCGGGGCCUGGGGCUUUCCAAGCAAGGGGUGAAAGCCCGGAGCGUAACUCCGUAACGGCCAUUGAAACUGUUUAGCUUGAGAAUAAGAGAGGUGAUUGGAAUGCCCAGUGUAGAGGUGAAAUUCGUAGAUAUUGGGAAGAACACCGGUGGCGAAGGCGGCUCACUGGCUCAUUACUGACGCUCAGGCGCGACAGCGUGGGGAUCAAACAGGAUUAGAUACCCUGGUAGUC